rnacentral:rRNA from 1 species
UGGGGAAUCUUGGACAAUGGGGGCAACCCUGAUCCAGCCAUGCCGCGUGAGUGAUGAAGGCCUUAGGGUCGUAAAGCUCUUUCGCCUGUGAAGAUAAUGACGGUAGCAGGUAAAGAAACCCCGGCUAACUCCGUGCCAGCAGCCGCGGUAAUACGGAGGGGGUUAGCGUUGUUCGGAAUUACUGGGCGUAAAGCGCACGUAGGCGGACCAGAAAGUUGGGGGUGAAAUCCCGGGGGCUCAACCCCGGAACUGCCUCCAAAACUAUUGGUCUAGAGUUCGAGAGAGGUGAGUGGAAUUCCAAGUGUAGAGGUGAAAUUCGUAGAUAUUUGGAGGAACACCAGUGGCGAAGGCGGCUCACUGGCUCGAUACUGACGCUGAGGUGCGAAAGUGUGGGGAGCAAACAGGAUUAGAUACCCUGGUAGUCCACACCGUAAAACGAUGAGUGCUAGAUGUUGGGAUUUUACGGAUUUCAGUGUCGCAGCUAA